GAGUUUGAUCAUGGCUCAGGAUGAACGCUAGCUACAGGCUUAACACAUGCAAGUCGAGGGGAAACGGCGUUGAGUGCUUGCACUCUUCGGACGUCGACCGGCGCACGGGUGAGUAACGCGUAUCCAACCUUCCCAUAACUAAGGGAUAACCUGCCGAAAGGCAGACUAAUACCUUAUGUAAUUCUUGGAUGACAUCAGAAGAGAAUGAAAGAUUUAUCGGUUAUGGAUGGGGAUGCGUCUGAUUAGCUUGUUGGCGGGGUAACGGCCCACCAAGGCGACGAUCAGUAGGGGUUCUGAGAGGAAGGUCCCCCACAUUGGAACUGAGACACGGUCCAAACUCCUACGGGAGGCAGCAGUGAGGAAUAUUGGUCAAUGGGCGAGAGCCUGAACCAGCCAAGUAGCGUGCAGGAAGACGGCCCUAUGGGUUGUAAACUGCUUUUGUAUGGGGAUAAAGUCAAUCACGUGUGAUUGUUUGCAGGUACCAUACGAAUAAGGACCGGCUAAUUCCGUGCCAGCAGCCGCGGUAAUACGGAAGGUCCGGGCGUUAUCCGGAUUUAUUGGGUUUAAAGGGAGCGUAGGCCGGAGAUUAAGUGUGUUGUGAAAUGUAGACGCUCAACGUCUGACUUGCAGCGCAUACUGGUUUCCUUGAGUACGCACAACGUUGGCGGAAUUCGUCGUGUAGCGGUGAAAUGCUUAGAUAUGACGAAGAACUCCGAUUGCGAAGGCAGCUGACGGGAGCGCCACUGACGCUUAAGCUCGAAGGUGCGGGUAUCGAACAGGAUUAGAUACCCUGGUAGUCCGCACAGUAAACGAUGGAUGCCCGCUGUUGGUACCUAGUAUCAGCGGCUAAGCGAAAGCAUAANGCAUCCCACCUGGGGAGUACGCCCGCNACGGUGAAACUCAAGGAAUUGAGGGGGGCCCGCACACGCGGAGGAACAUUUGCCUAAUCCCCUGAUACGCGCGGCACCUACCCCGGGCGCGAUCUGCAGAGGAAGGAUUUAGAGAUACUGACGCCCUUCGGGGUCUCUGUGAAGGUGCCGCAUGGCCGUCCUCAGGUCGUGCCAUGAGGUGUCGGUUUAAGUGCCAUAACGAGCCCAACCCCUCUCUUCAGUUGCCAUCAGGUGAUGCUGGGCACUCUGGAGACACUGCCACCGUAAGGUGUGAGGAAGGUGGGGAUGACGUCAAAUCAGCACGGCCCUUACGUCCGGGGCUACACACGUGUUACAAUGGCCGGUACAGAGGGACGGUGUAAUGCAAAUUGCAUCCAAUCUUGAAAGCCGGUCCCAGUUCGGACUGGGGUCUGCAACCCGACCCCACGAAGCUGGAUUCGCUAGUAAUCGCGCAUCAGCCAUGGCGCGGUGAAUACGUUCCCGGGCCUUGUACACACCGCCCGUC
rnacentral:rRNA from 1 species